rnacentral:rRNA from 1 species
GAUGAACGCUGGCGGCGUGCUUAACACAUGCAAGUCGAACGAACCUUCGGGUUAGUGGCGGACGGGUGAGUAACGCGUGAGAAUCUGCCCUCAGGAGGGGGAUAACGGCUGGAAACGGCCGCUAAUACCCCAUAUGCCGCGAGGUGGAAUGAAUUUCGCCUGAGGAUGAGCUCGCAUCUGAUUAGCUAGUUGGUGGGGUAAGAGCCUACCAAGGCAUCGAUCAGUAGCUGGUCUGAGAGGACGAUCAGCCACACUGGGACUGAGACACGGCCCAGACUCCUACGGGAGGCAGCAGUGGGGAAUUUUCCGCAAUGGGCGCAAGCCUGACGGAGCAACGCCGCGUGAGGGAUGAAGGCCUCUGGGCUGUAAACCUCUUUUAUCAAGGAAGAAGAUCUGACGGUACUUGAUGAAUAAGCCACGGCUAAUUCCGUGCCAGCCGCCGCGGUAACAC